rnacentral:lncRNA from 1 species
CGACAAGGAGAAGACAUGUAUGCGCUUGUGAAAUGGUGUGCCGGGUCGAUGAGGGGAAAUUUAGUAUUGUUCACAUUAAAUACAUACGAAAUUUUGAUCUGGAAAGUUUUCUAAACGGCGUGAUUACCUACGAAGACGAAUUUGCCGUCGAGUGGGGUGUGGGAAAACGGCCAAAAGGUGGAUUCCCCAUUUAUAUGGCUACCUUCAAUCAGUUGGAGGGCUCGACAUUAACUGUACGUCCACACCGCCGCCGACUUGAGCUGUAA